rnacentral:rRNA from 1 species
UACGAAGGCAGCAAGCGUUGUUCGGAAUUACUGGGCGUAAAGAGUGUGUAGGCGGUGCUCUAAGUUUGGUGUGAAAUCUCCCGGCUCAACUGGGAGGGUGCGCCGAAAACUGGAAUGCUUGAACAUGGGAGAGGAAAGCGGAAUUCCUGGUGUAGCGGUGAAAUGCGUAGAUAUCAGGAGGAACACCUGCGGUGUAGACGGCUUUCUGGACCAUUGUUGACGCUGAGACACGAAAGCGUGGGUAGCAAACAGG